UACGUAGGGUGCGAGCGUUAAUCGGAAUUACUGGGCGUAAAGCGUGCGCAGGCGGUUUUGUAAGCCAGAUGUGAAAUCCCCGGGCUUAACCUGGGAAUGGCAUUUGGGACUGCAAGGCCGGAGUUUGGCAGAGGAGACUGGAAUUCCUGGUGUAGCAGUGAAAUGCGUAGAUAUCAGGAGGAACACCGGUGGCGAAAGCGCUCAUCUGGCCCAAUACUGACGCUGAGGCGCGAAAGCUAGGGGAGCAAACGGG
rnacentral:rRNA from 1 species